ensembl:lncRNA
UGUAUUUGUGUGUGUGAGUGUGUGUGUGUGUAUGUGUAUUAUGUGUGUGAACAGGAGAAAGAGAAAAUUCCAAAGAAUUGUGACGGCUGGCAAGUCCAAAAUCCACAAUAUGGGAAGCUGCAAUUCUUGCAAGAAAUGGAUGUCUUAAUCUAAAGAACACUACAAGAACAAUUGCCUAAAGCAAGAAAGCAAGCUGUUGGAUCUACUGAGAUACCAUAACACUACCAUGCUUUGGCUGCCCUCAGUUCUGUUUUGCUGAUGGACUGGACAUCACACUCAUCCUGGGAAUACUGGCAUCAGUGGUAAAUGGAGCUUGCCUCCCUUUAAUGUCACUGCUUUUAGGAGAAAUAAGUGAUCACCUAACUAGUGGAUGUCUAGUCCAAACCAACACAA